UCUAAAUCAGUAUACCAUCAUAAGGUACCACAAUUACGUGGCAUAAUUAACACUGGUUCAUUCUUUCACAGCUCCGGAGGCUAGGACCCCGAAAUCAAGGUGUCUGUGGGUUUGAUUUCUCCUGAGACCACUCUCCUCUGCCUGUGACAUGACUGUGUUCCCAAGCUCUUCCCUCUACGCUCCCCUGCGACUUUGUCUGCUCUUACAAGGAUGCUGGCCAUAUAGGAUUCAGGUAAUAACCAGGAGAAAUGAAAACACAAGUUCCCUGAAGACUUUUUAAAAAAUCUCGUAGGACCUUUGUUCAGAUGUCAAGGACAUGUCCUAUGAUUGCUUUCACAUGAAAUUCUAAAAUGGACAAAUCUAAUUUAGACUGGAAACUAAAGAAGAAAAACAGGACAGGAUGGCUUACAAGCUGUGCCAUUUGCUUAUACAUCUGGUGCAAAAACUUUGAACUCUGAAUUUAAAACAUGAUCAACAUAACUAUGCAGAUAUAAGGUUCUGGAGGAGAAAUUACAUACUCGGUGCUAUGAAAAAAAAACAUUAAAGAGUAGGGUGUGACUGAAGACAUUUUGAAAGAGGAGAAAAAUGACACUUAAAUCAAAGGAAAUAGCCACAACAUGUGUAAAAACAACCCUGAAACUUGCAGUGUUCUGACAUGGCUACCUUAAUCUUACUUGGAGAACGGGGAGCUCUUGCAAGGAGGCCAGCUUUGGAAGCUCUGGCAACAGGCUACCUGGAUGAAGAGGACUGACAGUAGGAACAGGAAUGAAGGGGAAUAGUAGACUUGAAAGUCUUUAUAUCUUGCUAUGAACACUUUACUUUUAGUUCUAAAGCUAGAUAGUAAACAUUCAUUGCCUCAACACAGAAGGUACUCCGAUUCAAAUUCUUAUUUUACCCUAUUCAGUGAAACCUUGCCAGCAUCCAGUGGACAUGCUGAUACUUUGGGAAGAA